CUGGCCUUUGGCAUGUUAACUGACAUGCUUUCGUUUUCCGAACCCCUAUUUAAAUGGGGCUCCCAAAAUCCGAUUUCGUAAACCGAUUACGCAAUGCCAUUUAUGAGUGGUCAUGUUAACGCUUCAAAAUCGAUUCUGGAAAUCCGCUUCUAAUUGCUGUUUUUCCAAUUCCGCUAUCGAUUUUCACAUUCCCGUAAACGCAACCGCUUUUAAAAGUUCGCGAGUUGUCAAGUUAAGUCUCAUUUUCAGAAUAUUCGGUUAAUAUGGACUUAUUGUGCAGUGAAGGAGAAGCAGAUACAUUAAGACUGAGCAUGAAGCUAACAACAAUAUUAAAGUGAAGAGACUGUGGUGACUGAAUCAGCUGUUUUGCAGACGCCAUAUUUAAGAGGGCCAGCAAAUCCUCUUCAGACCACAACAUGUAAACAAGACAGCGAAAAAUGAUUUCCGAAAUUCUGUUUCUGUCUUGCGGGAAAUGUGUCACAUGUACAGUGACGAUGACAGUGAUGUAACCGAAGUGUAUUCGUGUGUCAGUAGUCGACCGUGCUGACGAAAGCUACACGGAAAAACUGGCAACACGCCGAGAAGUUCGUCUCCACAUCACUCCAGGCGCUACAAGAGUCUUGAAGCCAUCUAAUUGGAUGAUUGGAACCCGUACAAUUGUCCAAUGAGAUCUAUCCAAUGCGAUCGAAGAGCGGCUGAUUCAGUUGUGACGUGCUGUACUGUAGCUGCAUUUUGGCCUGUAUGCCGCACAAGAAACUGAAGUUGAAACGCUCUUGUAAUUUCCCGAAUUGUUCAUCUGGAUAUUACGUAGGUUCAAGGGACGAAGUUGACAACAAGCGUUUCUACAAGUUUCCUAAACAAUCUCAAAAGUUGCUUUUGAAGUGGAAAAGUGUUUGUGAGCUGUCACCUGAUGUGAACUUUGCUACUGCUUUUGUUUGUGGGGAACCUUUCUCCGAAGACGACUUAACGAAUAAAACUAGGCUUAGGCUAGGGGUGUGUUUUCAAAACAAAUGACAAGUGUUCGUUACGUAGCUCCUAAUAUCAGAAGUGUAUCGGUUGAAAUUGACAAGUCCUUAUCAUGAAUGUGAUGAUACGUUCGCGAAAUAAAUAAAUUAUUACCAAGUGCUAGCCGUGCUGUGGCUAGUGAAUUACCAAGCACGAGUUGUGCUGAAAGUGUAGUUCUUUGAGUGAUGCACUCCUUAAAUUUCUUGUUCCCUCUCAAGAUGAAUCUACAGAUGGGAAGAUUGUUAAAAUUACAGAAGAUGAUCCAAUGGUUGACUACGGACUUAAGGAAACAUUAAUGGCAUUGGACUGAGAAGCACGACAAGUUGCAGUAUGAAUGGAAAAAUGUUGUGAAGAAAACUAAAUCUCCACAGCAGGUUUUAUCCAAGAGAAAAACUCUUUUUGUGGUUCCAGAGUUGAAUCAAUACAUUCAUUAAGCACUUUAAAUAUGUGUUAUGUUUGAAUUAACU